rnacentral:rRNA from 1 species
GACGUGCGCAGGCGGUUAUAUAAGACAGAUGUGAAAUACCCCGGGCCUCAACCUGGGAACUGCAUUUGUGACUGUAUAGCUGGAGUGCGGCAGAGGGGGAUGGAAUUCCGCGUGUAGCAGUGAAAUGCGUAGAUAUGCGGAGGAACACCGAUGGCGAAGGCAAUCCCCUGGGCCUGCACUGACGCUCAUGCACGAAAGCGUGGGGAGCAAACAGGAUUAGAUACCCCUGU